rnacentral:rRNA from 1 species
UGCGCAGGCGGUCUUGUAAGACAGAGGUGAAAUCCCCGGGCUCAACCUGGGAACUGCCUUUGUGACUGCAAGGCUGGAGUGCGGCAGAGGGGAUGGAAUUCCGCGUGUAGCAGUGAAAUGCGUAGAUAUGCGGAGGAACACCGAUGGCGAAGGCAAUCCCCUGGGCCUGCACUGACGCUCAUGCACGAAAGCGUGGGGAGCAAACA